rnacentral:rRNA from 1 species
UACGUAGGGGGCUAGCGUUGUCCGGAAUCAUUGGGCGUAAAGAGCGUGUAGGCGGCCCGGUAAGUCCGCUGUGAAAGUCGGGGGCUCAACCCUCGAAUGCCGGUGGAUACUGUCGGGCUAGAGUGCAGAAGAGGCGAGUGGAAUUCCUGGUGUAGCGGUGAAAUGCGCAGAUAUCAGGAGGAACACCGAUUGCGAAGGCAGCUCGCUGGGACGUCACUGACGCUGAGACGCGAAAGCGUGGGGAGCAAACAGG